rfam:Oryzias latipes DNA, chromosome9, strain: Hd-rR.
GGUGCUGUGGCUUAGCUGGUUAAAGGGCCUGUCUAGUAAACAGGAGAUCCUGGGUCCAAAUCCCCGCUGUGGCU